UACGUAGGGGGCAAGCGUUGUCCGGAAUCAUUGGGCGUAAGCGCGCGUAGGCGGCCGGUAAGUCCGCUGUAAAGUCCAGGGCUCAACCCUGGAAAGCCGGGUGGAUACUGUCGGGCUAGAGUCCGGAAGAGGCGAGUGGAAUUCCUGGUGUAGCGGUGGAAUGCGCAGAGUAUCAGGAGGAACACCGGUGGCGAAGGCGGGUCUCUGGGCCGAUACUGACGCUGAGGAGCGAAAGCGUGGGGAGCGAACAGG
rnacentral:rRNA from 1 species